rnacentral:lncRNA from 1 species
CGGAGAAAGAUAAGUUUGUAAAGAUCUUAUUCUAUUAUAUGCAUAUAUACAAAAGGUGUUCGUGGACCAGAUCGGAUCUGUAUAAUUGAUAUAUUAUUUCUACAGCCUAAAAAGAAAUGGGUAUAGAAAAAAAAAUAUACCUUAUCAAUUUAACUUGGGAACAGUUUUGAGUAUGAGUACUUAAGUUAAUAAUAUAUUCAUCGGAUCUAUUUGAGUGGGUCUGGAUAUAAUUAUCCGUAUACCACCUGCUUAAAAUUAGGUAUCGAUCGGAUACGGGUCGGAUCUACAUCGGAUGCGGAUACUCGUAUGCAUACAUUUUUUAUAUACUUUAUCAGACAAUUUAUAAAUAAAUUAUAAAUCUCUCAUUAUAAAAAAUCUGCGUUUUAAUUAAUUGCACCUAGUCCAAUAAAAUUUGUUCAAAAAAAAUUCAAAUGGUAAGCAGCUAGAAUUAACAAAAUACAGAGUAAAAUAAAAGAAAGAAAUAAACGGAGCAACUAGAGUUUUUAUUAUGAUGAAAAUAUAUAGAGAUCGUUCAUUUAUAAGUCUUAUUGAAAUUGAUCUUUCAACUUUAAUUUUUUUUAAUUUAUUUAUUGUCGAGUAUUUCACUGUGUUUGGAUUCUGGUUCGGAUUUGAAAACUCUUUUUGACCCUACCCAUUAAAGGUUGGGUCAGAUCGGAUCUAAGCCGGGUAAAGAUAUGAAAUAUCCAGAUUCAUACUUACAAUUUUAAUAAAUUUUUUUAAUUCAUAUACUAUAU